AUGGCCUGGGCUCCUCUCCUACUCUCCCUCCUCACUCACUUCACAGGAUCCUGGGCCCAGUCUGUGCUGACUCAGCCAUCCUCAAUGUCUGGGAACCUGCGUGAGAGUGUUACCCUCUCCUGCACUGGGAGCAGCAGCAACAUUGGUAGUUACUAUCCCAGCUGGUACCAACAGAUCCCAGGAACAUCUCCUAAACUCCUCAUCUAUGGUAAUAACAAUAGACCUUCAGGGAUCCCAGACAGAUUCUCAGGUUCCAAGUCUGGCAACUCGGCCUCACUGACCAUCACUGGGCUUCAGGCAGAUGAUGAGGCUAAUUAUUACUGCUACUCCAUUGACAAUAGUAUGAGAGCUUACACAGUGCUCUAG